rnacentral:rRNA from 1 species
UACGAAGGGGGCUAGCGUUGCUCGGAAUUACUGGGCGUAAAGCGCACGUAGGCGGCUUGUUAAGUCAGAGGUGAAAUCCUGGAGCUCAACUCCAGAACUGCCUUUGAUACUGAGAAUCUUGAGUAUGGGAGAGGUGAGUGGAACUGCGAGUGUAGAGGUGAAAUUCGUAGAUAUUCGCAAGAACACCAGUGGCGAAGGCGGCUCACUGGCCCAUAACUGACGCUGAGGCACGAAAGCGUGGGGAGCAAACAGG